rnacentral:rRNA from 1 species
GGGUUGUGAGGUUAAGCGACUAAGCGUACACGGUGGAUGCCCUGGCAGUCAGAGGCGAUGAAGGGCGUGCUAAUCUGCGAUAAGCGCCGGUAAGGUGAUAUGAACCGUUAUAACCGGCGAUACCCGAAUGGGGAAACCCAGUGUGAUUCGUCACACUAUCAUUAACUGAAUCCAUAGGUUAAUGAGGCGAACCGGGGGAACUGAAACAUCUAAGUACCCCGAGGAAAAGAAAUCAACCGAGAUUCCCCCAGUAGCGGCGAGCGAACGGGGAGGAGCCCAGAGCCUGAAUCAGCAUGUGUGUUAGUGGAAGCGUCUGGAAAGGCGCGCGAUACAGGGUGACAGCCCCGUACACAAAAGCGCAUGUGCUGUGAGCUCGAUGAGUAGGGCGGGACACGUGGUAUCCUGUCUGAAUAUGGGGGGACCAUCCUCCAAGGCUAAAUACUCCUGACUGACCGAUAGUGAACCAGUACCGUGAGGGAAAGGCGAAAAGAACCCCGGCGAGGGGAGUGAAAAAGAACCUGAAACCGUGUACGUACAAGCAGUGGGAGCACAGGUUUACCUGUGUGACUGCGUACCUUUUGUAUAAUGGGUCAGCGACUUAUAUUCUGUAGCAAGGUUAACCGAAUAGGGAGCCGGAGGGAAACCGAGUCUUAAUUGGGCGUUAAGUUGCAGGGUAUAGACCCGAAACCCGGUGAUCUAGCCAUGGGCAGGUUGAAGGUUGGGUAACACUAACUGGAGGACCGAACCGACUAAUGUUGAAAAAUUAGCGGAUGACCUGUGGCUGGGGGUGAAAGGCCAAUCAAACCGGGAGAUAGCUGGUUCUCCCCGAAAGCUAUUUAGGUAGCGCCUCGUGAAUUCAUCUCCGGGGGUAGAGCACUGUUUCGGCUAGGGGGCCAUCCCGGCUUACCAACCCGAUGCAAACUGCGAAUACCGGAGAAUGUUAUCACGGGAGACACACGGCGGGUGCUAACGUCCGUCGUGAAGAGGGAAACAACCCAGACCGCCAGCUAAGGUCCCAAAGUCAUGGUUAAGUGGGAAACGAUGUGGGAAGGCCCAGACAGCCGGAUGUUGGCUUAGAAGCAGCCAUCAUUUAAAGAAAGCGUAAUAGCUCACUGGUCGAGUCGGCCUGCGCGGAAGAUGUAACGGGGCUAAACCAUGCACCGAAGCUGCGGCAGCGACACUGUGUGUUGUUGGGUAGGGGAGCGUUCUGUAAGCCUGUGAAGGUGUGUCGUGAGGCAUGCUGGAGGUAUCAGAAGUGCGAAUGCUGACAUAAGUAACGAUAAAGCGGGUGAAAAGCCCGCUCGCCGGAAGACCAAGGGUUCCUGUCCAACGUUAAUCGGGGCAGGGUGAGUCGACCCCUAAGGCGAGGCCGAAAGGCGUAGUCGAUGGGAAACGGGUUAAUAUUCCCGUACUUGGUGUUACUGCGAAGGGGGGACGGAGAAGGCUAUGUUGGCCGGGCGACGGUUGUCCCGGUUUAAGCGUGUAGGUGUGUGUUCGGGUAAAUCCGGUUCACUUUAACACUGAGGCGUGACGACGAGGCACUACGGUGCUGAAGCAACAAAUGCCCUGCUUCCAGGAAAAGCCUCUAAGCAUCAGGUAACAUCAAAUCGUACCCCAAACCGACACAGGUGGUCAGGUAGAGAAUACCAAGGCGCUUGAGAGAACUCGGGUGAAGGAACUAGGCAAAAUGGUGCCGUAACUUCGGGAGAAGGCACGCUGACACGUAGGUGAAGUGAUUUACUCAUGGAGCUGAAGUCAGUCGAAGAUACCAGCUGGCUGCAACUGUUUAUUAAAAACACAGCACUGUGCAAACACGAAAGUGGACGUAUACGGUGUGACGCCUGCCCGGUGCCGGAAGGUUAAUUGAUGGGGUCAGCGCAAGCGAAGCUCCUGAUCGAAGCCCCGGUAAACGGCGGCCGUAACUAUAACGGUCCUAAGGUAGCGAAAUUCCUUGUCGGGUAAGUUCCGACCUGCACGAAUGGCGUAAUGAUGGCCAGGCUGUCUCCACCCGAGACUCAGUGAAAUUGAACUCGCUGUGAAGAUGCAGUGUACCCGCGGCAAGACGGAAAGACCCCGUGAACCUUUACUAUAGCUUGACACUGAACAUUGAGCCUUGAUGUGUAGGAUAGGUGGGAGGCUUUGAAGUGUGGACGCCAGUCUGCAUGGAGCCGACCUUGAAAUACCACCCUUUAAUGUUUGAUGUUCUAACGUGGACCCGUUACCCGGGUUGCGGACAGUGUCUGGUGGGUAGUUUGACUGGGGCGGUCUCCUCCUAAAGAGUAACGGAGGAGCACGAAGGUUGGCUAAUCCUGGUCGGACAUCAGGAGGUUAGUGCAAUGGCAUAAGCCAGCUUGACUGCGAGCGUGACGGCGCGAGCAGGUGCGAAAGCAGGUCAUAGUGAUCCGGUGGUUCUGAAUGGAAGGGCCAUCGCUCAACGGAUAAAAGGUACUCCGGGGAUAACAGGCUGAUACCGCCCAAGAGUUCAUAUCGACGGCGGUGUUUGGCACCUCGAUGUCGGCUCAUCACAUCCUGGGGCUGAAGUAGGUCCCAAGGGUAUGGCUGUUCGCCAUUUAAAGUGGUACGCGAGCUGGGUUUAGAACGUCGUGAGACAGUUCGGUCCCUAUCUGCCGUGGGCGCUGGAGAACUGAGGGGGGCUGCUCCUAGUACGAGAGGACCGGAGUGGACGCAUCACUGGUGUUCGGGUUGUCAUGCCAAUGGCACUGCCCGGUAGCUAAAUGCGGAAGAGAUAAGUGCUGAAAGCAUCUAAGCACGAAACUUGCCCCGAGAUGAGUUCUCCCUGAGACUUAGAGUCUCCUGAAGGAACGUUGAAGACGACGACGUUGAUAGGCCGGGUGUGUAAGCGCAGCGAUGCGUUGAGCUAACCGGUACUAAUGAACCGUGAGGCUUAACCUUACAACGCCGAAG